GCGACCAAACGCUAGCAUUUCAAGACUCGGGCUUUCCUACGGAAGCCCAAGUAAUAAGGGGAAACUUCACUUUAUAACGAUUCGAUACUGUAAGACUUUUAAAUCUUACAGGAUUAAAAACAUGUAUGGGUAUAAAGUGGUUUAAUAGAAAUUUCAGGAAUUAAAAGAGGUAUACGUUAGCUGUAAACUCUUUUGUACAAUACUUCAAGAUUGGUUUUUCCGUCCUCUAAUUACCGCUUGCUAAGGUUUUCGACCUUUGAGCGAUACAAACGGUACAAACGUUGAUGAAUAACUGGAAAAACCAGCUGAAUUCCGAAACUGAGUGAAAUUUUUAAAAAAAAACAUCUUGAAAUCUGAAAGCCAACAUCCGGCGAAAUCAGACGUCAGUUAGUGAAACAGAAAGCUACAACCUCAUGGCCAAAAAACAGAAUAUCGAAAAUGGAUUUGGAAAACGAAAUCUAAACGUCAAAUGCGAAUAUAUAUCUGUCAAUGUCGAGAGUAAGAAAUCCUGAAAAUAGAAUAAAGCCUAUAGAUUUCAAAAUUAAGCGGCGAAGUUCUAAAUUCCAUAUGUUGGUAGAGGAACACUGAUUUCUUAGCUUAUUGCGGAAAACAAGAAAACGCGUCACUUUGGUAAGUCAUAUUAAUUAGAUGUUACAUAUUAGCAAUACUAUUCGCAUACAUCAAUAGUAAACACACGGAAAGGAAUUCUCAUGCACAGCAAGUGCCAUUUCAUUUCGGAACGAACACGGAAAGUUCGCAUAACAAACUUUACAGAAAUGAAAACGAAUUACCGAUAAGCUAUCUUUCAAAAAACGGAAUAUUUAAAGACUUUUACAUCAGAGUCUUAAUGCAUUUUAGGAUAGGACAUAAUCUGGUCAGUUGUAUAAUUUUUCAAUGUAUUUCAGUUAUUCAGAACGUCCAAAGACUAGCUUUCUCCAACUGAUUGAUUGGUUCUGGUUUUAACAUGUACAGGUCGAGUUGAGAAGAAAAUUGUCACAAACCCUUUGAAACUGAACUAUAUUCCUUUAACAUCGAAAUUUCAACUGUGAAUAAUUUCAUCACAUCUUAUGAAAAAAGGUUCAGUAUUUUGGAAAAGUUUAACCAGGAAGUUCAAGAGUUGCUAUUUUGGAUCAAAAACCUGCUGCAAAGAGACAAAGAUCGCUUAGCUCACAGUCACUCCAGGAAAGAGAUUUCAAAGAAACAAAGGCAACAGAAGUACUCCAUUGCAAUUUGUUGGUCAAGUUCGCUCGUGAACUCCAAGAUUUGUUACGUUGGGUCAAAACAGUAAGUAAAACUCUAACUUUUAAGUAAUUAAACUAGUGUCACGAUAGUGUCAAAACAUCAGCAGAAGUUGAAACCUUUGCUCGACGAAAUUUGUAGAAUGAAAUGUAAAAUCGGAAAGCAUAAAAACCUACAACCCGAAACUGAAAGAUAUUGAAUUGCCUAAAUUCGUGAAAUAAAUAUCGACAUCUGACGAAGUCCUAAAAUUCACCUUUUUCUUAAACGAACACUACAUACUAAUAUUUUAGCUUAAUCGUUGCAGAAGAGAGGCUUCAGAUUUCUAUCAUCAAAUAAGAAAUAUUGCGAAAAAUGAGAUUGCAACUUCAUUUUACAAUAAUGUGAGUAAUAUAUGCCUGUGUUGUUCCCUCUAAAGUUAUGUAGUUUUUAAAAAACUGUUGCUUUGGAACUGAAAGUAUAGGGAAGCCACUGCAAGGUGUUGUGCUCCUCGAAAAUUGAUAGAUUACUGAGAAAGUGAAAAUCACGUCGUCAUCAGACUCCAGUCUUCAAAUCUGUUUAACAGUGCAAUUCAUCGCUGUUAAUUUUUGCUCAGUCAUUCAUGCCAUGACUCCACUAGCUGACGACAAAACAUUAACCCAAAAAAUCAAGAAUUCUGUACCAUUUUAGUAAGUUACUUUCUAGUCAGUGACACAAAAAUCAACAGAACACGUUUUAGACGGCCUUAUGUUGUGGACAUUGUUGACAAAAGUAAAGUAAAGUAAGGUAAAAUUUUAAGUACAGUGAUUGCCGAAAGAGUGGAUUAAAACGUUUCAUUGAUUUAGUUAAUUUUGAAAAAGGAGUUAAAGCUAGAAAUUUCCCAAGGCUAAUUAAAACGUUGUGUGUUUUCAUGAUCAGGUAGACAGAGUUGAAAGCGGCCUGUACGGCUAUGUUAUCUUGCACUCCAAGUUACUCUGUCUCUAGCUACAAGUUUUGUUUCUCUCCAGGCUUUAACUGUAUUUAUAAAUACAACGGUUUUUGUUUCAUUUUUAAUAGUUCUCCACCAAGUCUCUCUUGGUGUCCCCUGCUAGGCUUUUUUUUUUGCUGGUGCCCGUAUUAGAGCAUUCUUAAUAUUUUGGUCUCCUGACAUCUUGAAAACAUGACCUAACCAUUACCAUCGUCAUCUGUUCAUCGAUUGCCCUUGCAUCAAAUCUUUCUGUUAUCAUUUGAUUAGUGACCUUCAACAUGCCGGAUCAGCCAGUAAUCUUUCAGGAUUUUAUCUCCGCAUUUAUGCUGGAAGACACUUGGCUUCCUUUAAU